UACAGAGGCCUCGAGCGUUAUGCGGAAUCACUGGGCUUAAAGCGUGUGUAGGCGGACUUCUAAGUGCCUUGUGAAAUCCCACGGCUCACCCGUGGAACUGCUGGGCAUACUGGGAGUCUUGAGCCACCUAGGGGCGAGCGGAACAAAUGGUGGAGCGGUGAAAUGCGUAGAUAUCGGGAGGAACACCUGUGGCGAAAGCGGCUCACUGGACCACAACUGACGCUGAGGCGCGAAAGCUAGGGGAGCAAACAGG
rnacentral:rRNA from 1 species